rnacentral:rRNA from 1 species
GACAGAGGAUGCAAGCGUUAUCCGGAAUGAUUGGGCGUAAAGCGUCUGUAGGUGGCUUUUUAAGUCCGCCGUCAAAUCCCAGGGCUCAACCCUGGACAGGCGGUGGAAACUACCAAGCUGGAGUACGGUAGGGGCAGAGGGAAUUUCCGGUGGAGCGGUGAAAUGCGUAGAGAUCGGGAAGAACACCCGUGGCGAAGGCGGCCGGCUGGGCCGACCCUGACACUGAGGCGCGAAGGCGUGGGGAGCGAACGGG